AGCGGAGCCCACGAUCAAGUCUGAACUAACUGAAGAUGGCGCCGGUGACUCUGUGUAUAAUUUGUUACAUGUGGAACUCAUAGAAAAGUCAGAGACGAUUGAAGAACAAAUGGGGGAAAUAUUGAAUGAAGAUCCACUAGUGAAACCGAUGGCGUCAGAUACGGAUGAAGACUCCUGGACGUUGGCAGUCACUCCACCGGCGGAGCGCGCAGCACGCGCCAAGGACCAACUCUCGAGAAUCACACUACACCACGAAAAAAAGC